rnacentral:tRNA from 1 species
GCCCCUGUAGCUCAGAUGAUAGAGCACCGGUUUCCUAAACCGGGUGCCGGAUGUUCGAGUGAUCUCAGGGGCGCCA